rnacentral:siRNA from 1 species
UCUUGAUGCACUCGCAGCUCGC